rnacentral:rRNA from 1 species
GGAAUAUUGCGCAAUGGAGGAAACUCUGACGCAGUGACGCCGCGUAUAGGAAGAAGUUUUUCGGAAUGUAAACUAUUGUCGUUAGGGAAGAGAAAGGACAGUACCUAAGGAGGAAGCUCCGGCUAACUACGUGCCAGCAGCCGCGGUAAUACGUAGGGAGCGAGCGUUAUCCGGAUUUAUUGGGUUUAAAGGGUGCGUAGGCGGGCUGUUAAGUCAGCGGUCAAAUGUCGGGGCUCAACCCCGGCCUGCCGUUGAAACUGGCGGCCUCGAGUGGGCGAGAAGUAUGCGGAAUGCGUGGUGUAGCGGUGAAAUGCAUAGAUAUCACGCAGAACUCCGAUUGCGAAGGCAGCAUACCGGCGCCCUACUGACGCUGAGGCACGAAAGCGUGGGUAUCGAACAG